rnacentral:rRNA from 1 species
CUACGGGCGGCAGCAGGCGAGAAAACUUUGCAAUGUGCGAAAGCACGACAAGGUUAAUCCGAGUGGUUUGUGCUAAACGAACCUUUUGCCAGUCCUAGAAACACUGUUGAAUAAGGGGUGGGCAAGUUCUGGUGUCAGCCGCCGCGGUAAAACCAGCACCUCAAGUGGUCAGGAUGAUUAUUGGGCCUAAAGCAUCCGUAGCCGGCUCUGUAAGUUUUCGGUUAAAUCUGUACGCUCAACGUACAGGCUGCCGGGAAUACUGCAGAGCUAGGGAGUGGGAGAGGUAGACGGUACUCGGUAGGAAGGGGUAAAAUCCUUUGAUCUAUUGAUGACCACCUGUGGCGAAGGCGGUCUACCAGAACAUGUCCGACGGUGAGGGAUGAAAGCUGGGGGAGCAAACCGGAUUAGAUACCCCUGUACUC